rnacentral:lncRNA from 1 species
GUAACAGCAGGGUGUUUAGCCUGAGGAUAACUCAGAGUCCAGCAAGAAGGGCUGGGAUUCACACUGAGCACGUGUGUCUGCCCAGGCUUGGGCUGUUUUCUGGGAUGGACUACCUGAAAUUCAUCACGAAUAUUGAUCAUAAAUCAAGGCUAACAACAAAUUAGCUUUGGAAAAAUAUGAACUCAAAAGUAUACUCUAUUUAAAUCCUAAAAAAGAAUCAGAUACCCUGAUCCUGAAGAUUUCUGGACCUAGAUAAGUAGGAAUGAAAAGAAACAGGGCUGGUCAAACAAACCAGAAAAAAAGUAUGUGCCUUGGGCAAACUGAACUUGAUGGAGGUCAGGUGCAAAAGAAGUAUAGAUGUGGGCCUAGGCCUAUCCCUGACCCUUGAAGAGGCCUGGGCCUAAUGAAGAAGUUAUGUGGGCCUGGGCCUAUUCCCAAACCUUGAAGAGGCCCGGGCCUAAUGAAGAAGCGAUAUGGGCCUGGGCCUAUCCUUGACCCUUGAAGAGGCCCGGGCCAAAAGCAAGAAGUGAUGUGGGCCUGGGCCUAUCCCCAACCCUUGAAGAGGCCUGGGCCUAAUGAAGAAGUGAUGUGGGCCUGGUCCUAUCCCUAACCCUUGAAGAGGCCUGGGCCUAAUAAAGAAGUGAUGUGGGCCUGGGCCUAUCUCUGAACCUUGAAGAGGCCCGGGCCUAAUGAAGAAGCAAUAUGGGCCUGGGCCUAUCCUUGACCCUUGAAGAGGCCCGGGCCAAAAGCAAGAAGUGAUGUGGGCCUGGGCCUAUCCCCAACCCUUGAAGAGGCCUGGGCCUAAUUAAGAAGUGAUGUGGGCCUGGGCCUAUCCCCAACCCUUGAAGAGGCCUGGGCCUAAUUAAGAAUUGAUGUGGGCCUGGGCCUAUCCCCAACCCUUGAAGAGGCCCGGGCCACAAACAAGAAGUGAUGUGGGCCUGGGCCUUUCCCUGUCCCUUGAAGAAGCCCGGGCCUGAUGCAAGAAGUGAUAUGGGCUUGGGCCUAUCCCUGUCCCUUGAAGAGGCCUGGGCCUAAUGAAGUAUUUUGGGCCUGGGCCUAUCCCCAACCCUUGAAGAGGCCUAGGCCUAAUGAAGAAGUGAUGUGGGCCUGGUCCUAUCCCUAACCCUUGAAGAGGCCUGGGCCUAAUGAAGAAGUGAUGUGGGCCUGGGCCUAUCUCUGAACCUUGAAGAGGCCCGGGCCUAAUGAAGAAGCAAUAUGGGCCUGGGCCUAUCCUUGACCCUUGAAGAGGCCCGGGCCAAAAGCAAGAAGUGAUGUGGGCCUGGGCCUUUCCCUGUCCCUUGAAGAGGCCUGGGCCUAAUGAAGUAUUUUGGGCCUGGGCCUAUCCCCAACCCUUGAAGAGGGCUGGGCCUAAUGAAGAUGUGAUGUGGACCUGGUCCUAUCCCCAACCCUUGAAGAGGCCCGGGCCAAAAGCAAGAAGUGAUGUGGGCCUGGGCCUAUCUCUGAACCUUGAAGAGGCCCGGGCCUAAUGCAAGAAGUGAUAUGGGCCUGGGCCUAUCCUUGACCCUUGAAGAGGCCCGGGCCAAAAGCAAGAAGUGAUGUGGGCCUGGGCCUAUCCCUGACCCUUGAAGAGGCCUGGGCCUAAUUAAGAAGUGAUGUGGGCCUGGGCCUAUCCCUGACUCUUGAAGAGGCCCAGGCCUAAUGAAGAAGCAAUGUGGGCCUGGGCCUAUCCUUAACCCUUGAAGAGUCCUAGGCCUAAUGAAGAAUUGAUGUGGGCCUGGGCCUAUCCCCAACCCUUGAAGAGGCCCGGGCCACAAACAAGAAGUGAUGUGGGCCUGGGCCUUUCCCUGUCCCUUGAAGAAGCCCGGGCCUGAUGCAAGAAGUGAUAUGGGCCUGGGCCUAUCCCUGUCCCUUGAAGAGGCCUGGGCCUAAUGAAGUAUUUUGGGCCUGGGCCUAUCCCCAACCCUUGAAGAGGGCUGGGCCUAAUGAAGAUGUGAUGUGGACCUGGUCCUAUCCCCAACCCUUGAAGAGGCCCGGGCCAAAAGCAAGAAGUGAUGUGGGCCUGGGCCUAUCUCUGAACCUUGAAGAGGCCCGGGCCUAAUGCAAGAAGUGAUAUGGGCCUGGGCCUAUCCUUGACCCUUGAAGAGGCCCGGGCCAAAAGCAAGAAGUGAUGUGGGCCUGGGCCUAUCCCUGACCCUUGAAGAGGCCUGGGCCUAAUUAAGAAGUGAUGUGGGCCUGGGCCUAUCCCUGACUCUUGAAGAGGCCCAGGCCUAAUGAAGAAGCAAUGUGGGCCUGGGCCUAUCCUUAACCCUUGAAGAGUCCUAGGCCUAAUGAAGAAUUGAUGUGGGCCUGGGCCUAUCCCCAACCCUUGAAGAGGCCCGGGCCACAAACAAGAAGUGAUGUGGGCCUGGGCCUUUCCCUGUCCCUUGAAGAAGCCCAGGCCUAAUGCAAGAAGUGAUAUGGGCCUGGGCCUAUCCCUGUCCCUUGAAGAGGCCUGGGCCUAAUGAAGUAUUUUGGGCCUGGGCCUAUCCCCAACCCUUGAAGAGGGCUGGGCCUAAUGAAGAAGUGAUGUGGGUCUGGGCCUAUCCCUGAAACUUGAAGAGGCCCGGGCCAAAAGCAAGAAGUGAUGUGGGCCUGGGCCUAUCCCUGACCCUUGAAGAGGCCUGGGCCUAAUGAAGAAGUGGUGUUGGCCUGGGCCUAUCUCCAACGCUUGAAGAGGCCCAGGCCAUAAACAAGAAGUCAUGUGGGCCUGGGCCUAUUCCUGACCCUGAAAUUGUCCUGGGUCAGCAGUGUCAGCCUGGGUCUAUCCCUGAUCCUUGAAGAGGCCUUGGCUGAAUACAAGAAGUGGUAUUGGCGUGGGCCUAUCUCUAACCCUGGAAGUGGCCCAGGUCAAAUGUAAGAAGCAAUAUGGGCACAGGCCUAGCCCUGACCCUUGAAGAGGCCUGGGCCUAUACCUUACCCUUGAAGAGUCCUGGGCCAAAAGCAAGAAGUGGUGUGGGCCUGGGCCUAUCCCUUUACCUGAGGAGUCUUGUCCCAAAACUAGUAUAGAUGUUGGCCUAGGCCAAGCCUUGACCCUGAAGAUGCCCAGAUCCAAAAUAAGCAGAAAUGUUGGCAGCCUGUGCCAACCUCUGAUCCUGAAGAGGCCUAGGCCAAAACAACAAGAAUUGGUGCCUGGCCCUUUCGCUAAUCCUCAAGAGGCCCAAGGCAAAGUAGAAGAUGUGUGAACCGAGGUCCUGACCCCUAUGAAGCCUGGACCCUAGCAAGCAGAGGAUAUUGGACCUCUUUUUUUAAAAAAAAAGAGGCAUGGACCAUGCUAAGAAAAAGUGUAUUUCUAAUCCAAACUGUGACUCUGAAGACAAGCCAUGUAAAAACAAAAUGUUUAACACCAUUUACCAUAACCAGAACAAACCAAAGCCUCAUUUGUGACCAAGGUCGAUCAAUCACAAUAUAUUUGGACUUACUACCAUUCCUGCACAGAUCACUGACAUCAGAUCAUAGGUUGUGAAUCUCAUCAAUGAUAAUCUGGAAACUCCUUGUGUACCACUAUGGUUUGUGGGCUGCAUCUGGCAUUCUUCCAAAAGAGGCAAGAUCUCAUAUCAGUUGUGUUAAGACCAUAUCAUUGCUUUCAAGUGGUCACGCAUGAACAUAACAAGGAGACACCUUGGAAUCAAAGGUGUGGGAGCUCCACUCAGAAAUUCUCUGUUCCCAGGUCUUCCUAGAUGAGACCCUUUAGAGUCAAGGAGAAGCUGACCUCAAGUAUGACCUGAGCCAUACCCACUACUCCAGGAAGGUUGGACACAGUUUAACCACAAGGAGAGCUGGUCUGAUAAAUGCAAUGAUGGCAAAAGCCAUAAAGUGACAUCAGUGGGAUCCUGGCAGCCUUCUGACUACAGAGUACCCUGGGUCCAGCUUAACUUCAAGAGUGUAUGGGCCACACUCUUUCUUUUUAUGAUCUUGGACAAUCUUCACUACAAGGAAGCCUUGUAGCCUUACAUUAUUCUUUAGCAGGCAUUUCAUGCCCUAGCAUUGUGUAUCUAGUUUUCAAUAAAUAUAACUUUCAUUUGCU